rnacentral:lncRNA from 1 species
CUCACCCCGCCUGCUCGGCGGCGGAGGCAGCAGUGGCGGCAGCGGCUGUCCCUGCCUCUCCGCCACCUCCACCCCGGCCUAUUCUCCGGCCGGCGGCGUUGGCGGGGAGGGGGAACAGUAGUUGUAGACGCCCGCCCCUGCCUCAGAGAAGCUUGCUGGUUGUUACACAGUCUCACCAUGUGGGGCAAGUUCAUGCUACAAAACUGAAGCAAUUAUCGGAUGACUAUGAUCAGAUUUCUUCACCAAGUUCCCAGCCUGAGAAGGAG